CUCUCUCUCUCUCUCUCCUAAAAGCAUUCCCCUCUCCCUUUCUGUCUCGAUCUCAAUUCUAGGGUUUCUUUUGCCCGCAGGAGCGACUCGCCGGAGAUGGCGACUCUGUCUCAACCGACGUUGUUUCAGGAGAAGGAAAAUCUUGAUCUCAACGAAAGCUCCACUUGGUUCUUGAUCUUGAUCACACACUCCUCCACACCACUCAACUCUGUAAUCUGACACCUGAAGAAGACUAUCUCAAGAUCGGAACCCAUCCUCAUCGAGAUGUUUUCGUGCUUGAAACUGUGAUCACCAAGCUCAGGCCCUUUGUCUGGAGAUUCUUGGAUGAAGCCAGCAAGAUGUUUGAGCUGUACAUAUACACAAAGGGUAACCGGUACUAUGCGGGUCUAAUGGCUGCCCUGCUUGAUCCUAGGAAGGAGUAUUUCACUUCCAGUUCUAGAGUCAUAUCCUGCGAGGAUCACGGAAUCGUGGGGCGAUAUAAGAGUCUGGAUGCUGUGGUUGGCUGCAAUUAUUCUAAUGUUUUGAUCCUUGAUGAUACGGAAGAGGCAUGGACAAAGGAAAGCCGGGACAAUCUAAUCAUUGCCGAGAAGUACUGUUUCUUUAGGCACAAAAUGGGCCUACCUAAAUGCAAGUCUUAUGCUGAGUUAAAGACUGAUGAAUGUGGAUAUCUUGCAGCACUUCUUGAAGUGCUUAAGGUAAUCAACCGUAUCUUCUGUGAUGAACUAGCCAGAAAUCCUUCUGGUGUAGAUGUGAUGGAGGUGUUACAACUGUUUGGAAACAAUUGUUGAAGGUUGUUAGGCAUCCUGGAAACAGUUUCUUGACCAAAUCAAGCCGGUGAUCUGCCUAAGAUGGCGCAUUGUGCAGUUUGUAAUGUGUUAGGCAUCUUGGAAGAACUUGAGACUGCUUGAAAAGAGGAAAAGAAUAUCCCAUUCCAUUCUCUGCUAAAUACCACUUCAUUCGUUGAGGAUCAAUGCAAACUGACCGUGGCUUUAACUUUUCCGGCCAGAAUAAUUCGUCAAGAGCUUCAAGGCCUUUCCUUUCUUGGAGGAUUAUCCAACAUCUACACAGGGAGCGGUUUUACUAGUGCGUUUAUUUAGGGGAGAAAGUACUGCUAGUACUAUUGCUAUCGGUGCUUUUAGAGAAUGACAGCUACUCAAAAAGUUGAUGUUCCUCUGCUGUUGACCGUGCUCGCAAGGCUCUUACCUCCUUCACAAAUGGCCAUUCUUGUCAAAUUGCUUAACGAUUACAGGGCAAAGAAAAGUAGCCAACAAAAGCUGAAUGCAAUAGUGAUACUUGUCGUUGCUGAAAAGGUUUUGCCUUCAGAAACAAGUUGAUGUCAUCAACUAAUCAUACUGCUAGUGAUUGAAGCUUUCAAAUUCCUCAGGACAAGACAGUUAUGUUACUGCUCUGAUGGUUACCAAAAGCCUCGACGAUUUCAAAGAAACUAAGAUAUCCCCACCCCAGCUGGUCUGAAGGUGAGACUGAUAGUUGGUUCGAUUGUGCAAAGUCAUUUGAUUUCAGUAAUCAAAUCUUUGUGAAGAAAGCAGAAGCAAGACCAAGCCACGGGUUUGACGAACUUGCAGUGGGUGCAAACUCAGUUGAUUGUGACUUUAAUCGGAUUGUUGCAAAGGUUUCUUGUAGUGAUUCAAGCAACUCUUCCAAGUGAAGCAUUCAGUCGACAUGCUUAGGAUGAUUUCUGAACAUACUUGAGCAGGCAGAAGGUUUUAGCGAAACUUCUUUUCUGAAUUUAAUAUUGCCUAGCUUAUUAUGUUUUUCAUUACUUUCUAGUGUAGUUCAUUUUGUGGUAGCUUCUGUCUAGCACAUUGUGUCCUACUACUCAGCUAAUUUGAAAAUUAGCUUAUGUAUAGCGUGUGCAUGUUGUCCUAGCACUCGGCUAGCUCUGAUAAAAUUGCAUCAACCUCAGUGAACUCUCUAUUGUCAUUUGUUUUGGAUACAUGGGUAUGGACACUUGUUUCACUGGUGUGUCAAUAUAUUCAAGGUUGGUCGUCUAGCUGAGGCCGCAGAGUUGAUUCAUCUAGCCGAUGUGUCAGUAUGUCUAAUUUCGAUCAUUUGCUGGAUCAUGGGGUCAAAAACAACUGUCAUCUUUUCGUUUGGAUUAUGUGGGUAUUGAGACAUGUUUCACUGAUGUGUAACUAUAUUCAAGGUUGUUGAUUUAGCAAUUGAGGCCGCAAAAAGUUGAUUGAUCUAGCAGAUGUGCUAAUAUAUCAUGAUGUUAAAAGCAACUGCCCAAAGAGAUUCCAGCAGCCAUAUCUCAUACCUUGUGACAGUUAGAGAUCAGUUGACAUGGUCAGGAUUAUGUUUGAGCAAAUUCUUGCCACUGGUAAAGUACGACCACUGAUAUUGAGUUUAAGAUGUCUAAGGGAGAUUUUGAAGCAACAAGAAAAGACACUACUGAAAUUGAGCGUACAAUGUCAAAUUCCAUCGAAGAUUUUGAAGCAGUUGAAGCAACAUGACAAGCUGCCUGUUGGACUUGUCAGUUACUUGCUGAAACGUCUACUCAGUGGAAGCAUGAUGUGUUUUCAAGUUUCAGAGGUGUAGACACCCGUAGGGGUUUUUUUAUCCCAUUUGUACCAUGAAUUGGAAAACACGAGAGUAAUUAAAACAUUGAAGGAUGACAUACAGCUUGUAAAUGGGGAGGAUAUUUCUCUCAGUCUGCUAACUGCAAUUGAAGAAUCAAGGGAAGUGCAGGAUACAAUUUUACCGAUUAUGUGGAUCCCUCUGAUGUUCGACAUGAAAACAAGAGUUUUGAAUAAGCUUUAACUAAGCAUGAAUCAUUGGGGGAAGACGAACAGAAGGUGAAGCAGUGGAGAGUUGCUUUGAAAGAAGUAGCCGGUCUCUCUGGGUGGGAUUCAAGGAAUUAUAAGCAAGCAUGAUAAACUAUCUCAACAAGAGUUGUACUUUUGUAUUUAUUAUUUGACUAAUUAACUCAUGACCCACUUCAUUGUAGGACUGAAAUUGAACUUGUUGAAUACAUGGUGGAGUUUGUGUGCAACAAAGUACUUGAAGUACCCAUGGGAGGUCACAGAAUUUGAAGAAACAAGACGAGCCAUGGUUGAAGUCAAUAAAAUACUGGAGGAUGAUAACAUCACUGUGAUUGGGGUGCACGGAAGAGGAGGCGUUGGCAAGACAACCAUGGUGAAACAUGUCGGUGUACAAGCUGAAAAGGAUGGGCUUUUUGCUUAUGUGAUUAUGGUUGUUGUAUCCCAAAGCCCUGAUUUGCACAAAAUUCAAAGCACAUUGGCAGAUCUGCUGGGAUUGAAAUGGUGGAGAAGACAGAAUUUGGAAGAGACAGAAGAUUAAAGAGAGGAUCAUGAUUGAAAAUGGGAUCCUUAUAAUCUUGGAUGACAUUUGGGGAUAAUAGAUCUGUCAAGCAUUGAAAUUCCUGGUCAGAGUGAGCUUCGGUGAUGCAAUUCAGAAGUCCUACUCACCAAGGAUAAUGAAUGUCUGCCAUGCUAUGUGGUGCCAAGCACUGAUCCCUCUCACACCAAGCACUGAUCCCUCUCAACAGUCUACCAGAGGAAGAUUCUUGGAAUUUAUUCCUGAACAAUUCAGGGAAGUCUUUUCAUGAAUCUACCAAUUCCUAUGAUGAAGCGAGGGAGGUAGCUAGAGAAUGCGCUGGUCUCCCAAAGGCACUGAAAGAAGCUGCAAGGGUACUUGGACAUAGAUAGGCUGAUGAAUGGAAGGAAGAAGUUGCAAAGACAUUGGGAGACAUUUAAAAUUGUGCCAUGUGGCAAAACUAGAAAUUUGGAUCAAGUCCACAUGAAAACCAUUGGCUGCAAUUAUUCUAAUGUUUUGAUCCUUGAUGAUACAGAAGAGGCAUGGACAAAGGAAAGCCGGGACAAUCUAAUCGUUGUCGAGAAGACAAAAUGGGCCUAGCUAAAUGGAAGUCUUAUGCUGAGUUAAAGACUGAUGAAUGUGGAUAUCUUGCAGCACUUCUUGAAGUGCUUAAGGUAAUCAGCCGUAUCUUCUGUGAUGAACUAGCCAGAAAUCCUUCUGGUGUAGAUGUGAGGGAUGUGUAAGAACUGUUCGGAAACAAUUGUUGAAGGUUGUUAGGCAUCCUGGAAACAGUUUCUUGACCAAAUCAAGCCGGUGAUCUGCCUAAGAUGGCGGACUGUGCAUUUUUUGUAAUGUGUUAGGCCUCUUGGAAGAAGUUGAGACUGCUUGAAAAGAGGAAAAGAAUAUCCCAUUCCAUUUUCUGCAAAAUACCACUUCAUUCGUUGAGGAUCAAUGCAAACUGACCGUGGCUUUAACUUUUCUGGCCAGAAUAAUUUGUCAAGAGGUUAGUGACCAUAUAUGGUUUUGUUCUGUUGCUAUCUAAUCACAAACUAUGUUUCGUGCACAUCAUUUCGUAAUGUUCAUUUGAUAUGUUCUGUAAAGUUCAUUUAGGAAAUAAUUGGUAAUAGGUUUACUGGUAAGAUUUACUUGUUUUGACAACUACCUCUUGGUUGAAAAUUUAGCUUUUGAUACAACUAGCAUUUUUACCAUAUAGAGAAAAAAAAUCAUUAAAAAAAAAAAUCAAUACCUCCCAAGACAUGCUGUUCAAGUAUGGUUUAAGGAGGAAAAGCAUGUGCAGCCAAGGACAAAAUUAUUCUGAAGGGUUCUAAUAUUAUAUGUUGCUUUCAUGAACUCCCACGUUUUUCCUACUUAUGCUGUAAGCUUCAAGGCCUUUCCUUUCUUGAAGGAUUAUCCAACAUCUACACAGGUAGCGCUUUUACUAGUGCGUUUAUUUAGGGGAGAACUGUACUAUUGCUAUCGGUGCUUUUAGAGAAUGACAGCUACUCAAAAAGUUGAUGUUCCUCUGCUGUUGACCGUGCUCACAAGGCUCUUACCUCCUUCACAAAUGGCCAUUCUUGUCAAAUUGCUUAACGAUUACAGGGCAAAGAAAAGUAGCCAACAAAAGCUGAAUGCAAUAGUGAUACUCGUCGUUGCUGAAAAGGUUUUUCCUUCAGAAACAAAUUGAUGUCAUCAUCUACUCAUACUGGUAGUGAUUGAAGCUUUCAAAUUCCUCAGGACGAGACAGUUAUGUCACUGCUCUGAUGCUUACCAAAAGCCUCGACAAUUUCAAGGAAAAUAAGAUAUCCCCACCCCAGCUGGUCUGAAGGUGAGACUGAUAGUUGGUUCGAUUGUGCAAAGUCAUUUGAUUUCAGUAAUCAAAUCUUUGUGAAGAAAGCAGAAGCAAGACCAAGCCACGGGGUGAGGAUUCAAAUUCUUUUGUUCAACACCUUCCCUUUGGAGAUAUAUAGUUAUCGUUUAGUUAGACUCCAAUAGUUUAUUUCCAUGUUAACAAACUGUAAAGACAAUUUUUUUUAGUGCACUUACAUCCCCUGAUGUAAUAUGCGUACAUUGUUUUGCUCGAUAUGCUUUUAGUUGUAAUGCUAUGGUCGUGUGGGAAUAAUAAUAUUUGUGGGUUCAAUGUUUGUAGUCCUUUCACUUGUGAAUGAAUUAGCUUCUACUAUUAGUGGUU